CUUUAAAAUAAGAUGUUUUCCUCUUUUAUCUCUGUUUUUUCUCUCAUGUGAUUUCCCCUUUUCUUUUCUCUAGGUGCCUAGCUUUUGUUGAUAUUUUUUCUCUUGGAAAGGGUGUACAUUUUGAAGUAGAGACUGGUCAAAGAGGAGGAGUAUCAGUGCAUUUCAAGGAGCAAAGUGUGGGAGAUUUUCAGCUUAAUCUCAGGGAAUUGAUGUAGUCCAUGUUGUAUACUGCACUGCACCUCCAGUUUGGACAAGAGAGAAGCUGUGUUAGCAAAUGUUGAACCAAAUGUGAAAACACUGCUAAAGUCAUGGACUCUAAGAAAGGCCCAAUUUCACUUUAGGGGUAAGUUAAGGUGUUUUCUUGCAGAUUAUUAUCAUUAUUAUUUCUUU
rnacentral:lncRNA from 1 species